rnacentral:rRNA from 1 species
GACGAACGCUAGCUACAGGCUUAACACAUGCAAGUCUAGGGACCUGCUCACGGGUGCAUAACACGUAUCCCACCUACCCUUUCCUCGGGUAUAGCCUUUCGAAAGCAAGAUUAAUACCCAAUAUCACGUAUGGGGAUGCGUUACAUUAGGUUGUUUGUGAGGUAACGGCUAACCAAGCCUUCGAUGGAUAGGUGUUAUGGUAGGAAGGUCCCCUAGAUUGGAACUGAGAAACGGUCCAAACUACUACGGGAGGAAGAAGGUAGGAAUAUUGGUCAAUGGGCGCUAGCCUGAACCAGCAAAGUAGCGUGAAGGAUGAAGGAGUAUGGGUCGUAAACUUCUUUUAUAUAAGAAGAUGUAGUAGAUGAAUAAGGAUCGGCUAACUCCGUGCCAGCAGCCGCGGUAGUUC